CUAUAAAGUAAACUAAUAUAAGUUUUUGAGCUCAUAACUCAACCAUGGAGCCCCCCUUUAUAA
rnacentral:tRNA from 1 species